rnacentral:tRNA from 1 species
GAUAUGGUGCCUGAAAAAAAGGUCUGUUUUGAUAGGACAGCUCAUGUAGUAAUACUGCCCAUAUUA